rnacentral:rRNA from 1 species
CAAGCGUUGUUCGGAAUUACUGGGCGUAAAGGGCUCGUAGGUGGCCAACUAAGUCAGACGUGAAAUCCCUCGGCUUAACCGGGGAACUGCGUCUGAUACUGGAUGGCUUGAGUUUGGGAGAGGGACGCGGAAUUCCAGGUGUAGCGGUGAAAUGCGUAGAUAUCUGGAGGAACACCGGUGGCGAAGGCGGCGUCCUGGACCAACACUGACACUGAGGAGCGAAAGCCAGGGGAGCAAACGGG